AUACCAUGAUGUGGGCACUUUCGUAACAACUCUUUAAAUCUUCCCCAUGCAUCAUACAACAACUCCCCUUCCAUCUGGUAGAAAUUAUUAAUUUUCCUUCUCAACUU